GAUCCACCUGCCUUGGCCUACCAAAGUACUGGGAUUACAGGCGCGAGCCACUGUGCCCGGCUGGUCUCUGACACAUCUAAGCUAUGAAGCAUUAGGUAAAUUUCUGACCAUCUCUGACCCCCAUCUAUGAAAGACUCGUAGGGUGGUUGAAAUUGCACCACAUAUACAAUAUCUGGCCCAAUGUAGGAAAUGUAUAAAUGUUAGCUUCAUCCCCCAGGGAAGCCCACUGAGAUCCAUAUGAGUCCUUUGUCUGUGUCUCCCCAUAAUGUGACCUUUAGAAGUUGCCAAUGGCCCACCCAAUACCCAACCGUGAUUUUUCUGAGAUAAUCUGCCUGAGGUGUGUGAGAGGAAAGGCGAAGAAGGCAGUCAGGAGGAUUCACUCGCGGGGGAGCUGGGUAGGAUCCUAUCUCCUCCUACAUCCAGAGCAUGCAGGCUCCAUUUAGAUACAAAGGGGUCAGAUUGGGUUACUGGGGAGAAAUUGAGCCCCUUUGAUUCUGCGGUUCUGUGGGUCUAAAUCUGGCAGCUUCUUGGCUAUCCACCCCCAGGCUUUGUGAUUGGUUGGCUGUGGUUGGUGGGGGGGCAGGAAGCUGCUGGUGGAGCUGCAGCAUCCUUCAGUCUCAGGCCCCCAGGAGGGGGAGGGGAAAGAACAAGGGCUGAGCCGUGGAGGGAAGAGGAGCCAUUUCUCUCCACCGACUGCAACCUCCGUGCUCACAGCUCACGUUUCACCAGAAUCCAGGGGCCUGGUCGGCCUAGGAAUCCACAAUGCUGGAUAUUUUCAUCCUGAUGUUCUUUGCUAUCAUAGGCCUGGUCAUUCUGUCCUACAUUAUCUAUCUGCUCUAGUGGCCUGGAGCUGCGGCUGGAGCCUGCUGGAGAACAGCUCAGAGGGAAGGAUGGAGCUGAAUGGCCGAGUGCCCUGCUUGCUGACGCACCGGUGGAUUUUUGCUUCUGGCUGUUAUCUCGGCUCCUGGUCUCUCCAGUCCAACAAGAGGUCUCUCAUCCACAGCAGCAGUCCCGCUGCCCAGCAGACCUCUUUCAGAGCCUUCCAGACAUGGCUGACCCCUGGCAAGCAAGGGGCUUUUUGAGCUGAGAGGCACUUGGCUGGGACAUCAGGAAUUCAUGGACAUGGCUGGCAGAUACUGCAUGUGUUUGAGCUGUAGAUAGAGGGGAUUGAGAACAGAAAGUUGAAAUGGAGACUUAUUAAAGUUACAGUGGAGAACUGCUCAAAAAUUCAUUUUGAAUUAAGGAAACUUAAAUUUCCUUAAUUUAAGGAAACUUAAAUUCAUUUUAAGUUUCCUUAGAUCUAAAUGCAACUGCACAUUACACUCAAAUAUGUUCCUUCCUUCUCACACACAGGGCUCCCUUGUGAAACUCAAGGGGAAGUUCAAGUUGUCCAUCUUCACCUAUGAAGUAGUCACUUUAUCACUGUCUUUACAGAUUGCACAAUCUGGGGUUUUGUGGUUUCUCUUGUCUCACUCUCCAGCCAGGAAGAACUUGUCAUUUGAGUUUUUAAAAUUUAUCAUUUCUUCCCUACCUCAAACCACUUGUAUCCCAGUUUCUCAUUUGAAGGGAGAAAUGGUUAUGUAGUCCUCAUCCUUGCAGCUUAUUGAAUUAUAAAUGAUAGAAACAAGAUGGCUAUACUUAUUUAGGAAAAAUCUCUUACCCCAAAAUGAGUGUGUGUGUGUGUGUGUGUGUGUGUGUGUGUGUGUGUGUGUGUUUUGUCAAAGAUCUUUUCUGGAAAAAAAAAAACUUUCCACAUAGUUCUCUGACCCAUUAGAGUUGAAGAAACUAUAUAUUUUGGGAUUCAGAGUAGAAUUGGCUUGCAAAUCUGGGGUGUUUAUUCCUUUUACAAGUCUGUCGUAAUUGUUCUACAUUUAAUUUUCCCUUCUCACUUAAAAAUAAACAAGGAGAGUCAGGCGCGGUGGCUCACACCUGUAAUCCCAGCACUUUGAGGCGGGCAGAUCACCUGAGGUCAGGAAUUGGAGACCAGCCUGGCCAACAUGGUAAAACCCCAUCUCUAAUAAAAAUACAAAAAUUAGGCACGGUAGUGCACGCCUGCCGUCCCAGCUACCUGGGAGGCUGAGGCUGAAGAAUCGCUUGAACCUGGGAGGCAGAGGUUGUAGUGUGCUGAGAUCAUGUCACUGCACUCCAGCCUGGGAGACAUAGUGAGACUACAACUCAAAUAAAAUAAAAUAAAAUAAAAUAAAUAAAUAAAUAAGGAGAAAGGUUAAAUUAAUAGCUUUUAGUAAUAACAUUGUGUCCAAUUUCCAUGUUUUAAAACAAAAAUUGAGGCAUUAUAUGUCACAAUUAAAAUGGAAAAGUUGCAUUUAAAAAUUAUGGACAAGGCCAGGCACAGUGGCUCACGCCUGUAAUCCCAGCACUCUGGGAGGCCGAGGCAAGCAGAUCACUUGAGGUCAGGAGUUUGAGACCAGUCUGACCAACAUGGUGAAACGCUGUCUCUACUAAAAAUACAAAAAUUACGUGGUGUGGUGGCAGGUGCCUGUAAUCCCAGCUACUCAGGAGGCUGAGGCAGGAGAAUGGCUUGAACCUGGGAGGCGGAGGUUGCAGUGAGCUGAGAUCACACCUCUGCACUCCAGCCUGGGUGACACAGCGAGAUUCCAUCUCAAUAAUAAUAAUAAUAAUAAAAACAUAAGAAUUAUGGACAAGAAAAAACACAAUUCUGGAAGCUUUGUUUUGGCAACAGAUUAUGUGACUUUGCAUAAGUCAUUUAAACUUCAGGGCUAGGCCAGGCGCUAUGGAACAUGCCUAUAAUCCCAGCAUUUAGGGAGGUAGAAGCAGGAGGAUAGCUUGAGGCCAGGAAUUCCAGACCAGCCCAGGCAACAUAGCGAGACCCCCAUCUCCACAAAAAUAAAAAAUAAAAUAAAAAUAAAUAAAUACAUAAGCUUUAGGUCUUCUGUUUAUUCUGUCAAAUGAAAGUGUUAGGCCAAGGUCGCAUUAUCUCUUUGGAAACUACAUCAUUGAGAACAGAAUUCCCAUGGAACAAACUCUUAAUAGCUCACUGGUAGUCCCCCUUUUCUGAAUAUUCUCCCCAACAUGACAUUUGAUAGUGAAAAUUUAACUGCAAAACUCCCUUUUUUUUUUUUUUUUGCACCAACAGCCAGAUUUUGAUGAGAAAAUGGCCAUAUUUAUUUACUCCGAAUAUAUAUUAUGUCAGUGAUAAUUUGCCUAAACUGUUUCAGGAAUAUUAACAAGUAUGAUACUGCAUUGUGGUAUACUGCAAAAAGACAGGUAAUCUGACAUACAUGGAUGCAAGAAGCAUGACUGUGAACCUGGAUAUAUUUAGGAAUGAUCUUCAGUGGAGUCCUUGACGUGACAUUUUCCACUAAAAUAUUCUUCUAACUCCAGUAUAACUUAGUGUUUCAAACUACAAUUUCCCUCUUCAAGCCAAGACAGCAGCUCUACAUCCUUACCUAGGUAAUUCAGGCAAGUGCCAGUAUUUUGGAGGAGUUCAAAUUAGAGUUAGUUAUGACGGUAUAGAUCUUUAAGGCAUAGUCUAACCAAGCUUGCUCUAGUCUUUUGUGACAUCAAGGCUUCUCAGUCUGUAUUCUUACAAAGUUGAACCAACUAAUCAAUUCAGUGAAAAAAAAUCAGCAGAUUUCACUCAUACACUGGUGACAUAUACCACUGGUACUGGGUACAAUGUAAGGAGAGAAGAUUACCCAUCUCUUCAGUUGUAAAAUAGGAUUUAAAAAAAAUAAAUACAUACAUUUUGGAAAAAAUGUAUGACUUUGUGCUUAUAUUUAUGCAACAGUAUGCUAGCUUAUAACAGGGUUUUACUGUAUUAUUUUGAUAGUUGUUUAAAUUUUACAUUUAAACUAUUUGUAUUUUGGCAUCCCAAAACAUAAUAAAACACUGAAAAAAGUUACUUCUGUAAUAUAAGGUUUUGUAUAAAUUUUAUAAAUCUGUGUCAUAGGGUAAUUUUGUCCAAUAAAAUGUCAAUGAAAUAAAAACCA